AUCACUGCUAGCAGGACUUCAUGACAACAUGACAACAGGUCCUUUCACUCUAAGGCCAUGAUUAAUUUAAACCACAGCGCUCUGGUUCAGGGCAUCGGUAGCCAAGCUGAGAUUGUCUAAGCGAGAGAGAGGGCAAGAGAGAGAGAGAGAGAGGGCAAGAGAGAGAGAGGGCAAGAGAGAGAGAGGGCAAGAGAGAGAGAGGGCAAGAGAGAGAGAGGGCAAGAGAGAGAGAGAGCGAGAGAGAGAGAGUGAGAGAGCGAGAGAGAGUGCGAGCCAGACAGACAGAGCGAGGCAUCCGAUCGAAGAAGCCAAUAUUAGUCUACCACCGUGAGAGUCUAUUAGCUACGCAAGUCCGACACUUAACCAGAACGCAACACAUUUGUUAAGAUGGACUUUUUGGAAGAAAGAAAUGACAGGUAUGGCGAAAAGAUGGUAGAAACAUGGGAGUGCUUUUAGCUAAACAUGGAGGUGUUUUUGUAGAAACAAGGUAUUCCACUUGGAGAACUCCUGCCAGCAUGUCUACACCACCAUCUCUGAGAGAGAAAACUGAACAGGCUCCAGCUCAGACCUUAAACCUCACCUCGACCAAGAAGUAUUUUUUACUCAUCGAAUACACAAAAGAUAUCCUGGAUGAAUGGUGAUGGAAUUCAGUAAGCCCUACUAGAGGCUGUGAACUCCACUUGCCAGUCUUACUUACCAGUCUGCCACCAGUGGUCCAGGAUGGGGACACCGAAGCUCCUCUUGGCCCAGUCCAGCGUCUCCACGUCACAGCGUUCCCCGGCCAGGAACAGAGACCGCAGGCUGGGGAACGCAGGAGAGAGACGCCGGUUGACCACAAACAAGAUGCCCCUACACCUACCUGCUCCUCAUGGACACCAGUCCCUUUGGACAAAAGUGUCUGUUAAAUGACAAAUUAAACAAAGAAACGCACAUUGUACUUUGUCCGUUAUUGUGCUGCAAUUGUUGAGAAACUACUGGUGAAUAAAACAAUCAAACCAACAUGUAUUCCAGUCUGGCACCCCAAAAUAGUCUGUUAUAUAACUGUGAUUCUUAAGCUCCAGCAGUGUGAUGAGAAUAACGAAUAUGACAACUAUAUUUGACACAUUUUGUCAAAUUCUGACAGAAUUGAUGGCGCCCCGAAAUAAGUAUGUGCUUCUAAAGAGAGGCCUGUCAGCCACAGAUGACUUUAUUCCACAAAAAAACUGCAAGAAGGCACAAUGUCAUUAAAGCAAAGCUCCCGAAGAAACACCACGUAACGUCAGCAUUGUUUUGAUUCUUAAAAUGUAAAUCAGUGUG